rnacentral:rRNA from 1 species
AAAGAAACUAACAAGGAUUCCCCUAGUAACGGCGAGUGAAGAGGGAAGAGCUCAAAUUUUAAAUCUGCCUUGUUCCAAGGUCGAGUUGUAAUUUGAAGAAGCGUUUUCUUGGGCUCGCGGCCGGUAGAAGUUCUUUGGAACAGGACAUCAUAGAGGGUGACAAUCCCGUCCGUGACCGGUCGUGCGUUCAUCUACGAUACGCUUUCAAAGAGUCGAGUUGUUUGGGAUUGCAGCUCCAAACGGGUGGUAAACAUCACCUAAGGCUAAAUAUUGGCGAGAGACCGAUAGCGAACAAGUACCGUGAGGGAAAGAUGAAAAGAACUUUGAAAAGAGAGUUAAACAGUACGUGAAAUUGUUGAAAGGGAAACGAUUGAAGUCAGUCGUGCUGGCGCGAAAUCAACCCUCUCGUCUUGAGAUCACAUGGCGCGACGAGCCUCAAAACCGUCACGAAGCGUGAACUCUUGACGAAAAGGUGCACUUUCGUGUCCGCUGGUUAACAUCAAUUUCGAACGUCAUAAAAAGGCUGGAGGGAUGUGGCUCCUUCGGGAGUGUUAUAACCUUUAGCGGAAUGUGGCGUUCGGGAUUGAGGAUUGCAACGAAUACCUUCAGGGCUGUUCCACCUGGCUUCUCAUUGGUAUCCUGGUGACGACAGCUUGCUGACGUCGUUAGGAUCAGCUUCUGAACCAGGCUAGAGUGUGAGCAAAUUCGUUAAGGAUGUUAACGUAAUGGCUUAAACGAC